GGGUCAUUGGGUUGGUCGUGCCACCGGUACGUACUGGUCUCACUGAUUCCUCCUUCCUGAAGAACCGUAAUGCCAUUAAUUUGGUGUUGCGGGGAAACAGGACUGUUACUUUGAAAAAAUUAGAGUGUUUAAAGCAAGCUAACGCUUGAAUACAAUAGCAUGGAAUAAUGAAAUAGGACGAUCGAUCCUAUUUUGUUGGUUCCUAGGAUUGACGUA
rnacentral:rRNA from 1 species